rnacentral:rRNA from 1 species
AGUGAACGCUGGCGGUAGGCCUAACACAUGCCAGUCGAACGGCAGCACAGUAAUAGCUUGCUCUUACGGGUGGCGAGUGGCGGACGGGUGAGGAAUACAUCGGAAUCUACUUUUUCGUGGGGGAUAACGUAGGGAAACUUACGCUAAUACCGCAUACGACCUACGGGUGAAAGCAGGGGAUCUUCGGACCUUGCGCGAUUGAAUGAGCCGAUGUCGGAUUAGCUGGUUGGCGGGGUAAAGGCCCACCAAGGCGACGAUCCGUAGCUGGUCUGAGAGGAUGAAGAGCCACACUGGGAGUGAGACACGGUCCAGACUCCUACGGGAGGCAGCGGUGGGGGAUAUUGGCCAAUGGGCGCAAGCCUGAUCCAGCCAUGCCGCGUGGGUGAAGAAGGCCUUCGGGUUGUAAAGCCCUUUUGUUGGGAAAGAAAAGCAGCAGGUUAAUACCCCGCUGUUCUGACGGUACCCAAAGAAUAAGCACCGGCUAACUUCGUG